rnacentral:rRNA from 1 species
UGGCGGCAUGCCUUACACAUGCAAGUCGAACGGCAGCACGGGAGCAAUCCUGGUGGCGAGUGGCGAACGGGUGAGUAAUACAUCGGAACGUGCCCUGUAGUGGGGGAUAACUAGUCGAAAGACUAGCUAAUACCGCAUACGACCUGAGGGUGAAAGUGGGGGACCGCAAGGCCUCAUGCUAUAGGAGCGGCCGAUGUCUGAUUAGCUAGUUGGUGGGGUAAAGGCCUACCAAGGCGACGAUCAGUAGCUGGUCUGAGAGGACGAUCAGCCACACUGGGACUGAGACACGGCCCAGACUCCUACGGGAGGCAGCAGUGGGGAAUUUUGGACAAUGGGGGCAACCCUGAUCCAGCAAUGCCGCGUGUGUGAAGAAGGCCUUCGGGUUGUAAAGCACUUUUGUCCGGGAAGAAAUCGCACCUGAUAAUACCGGGUGUGGAUGACGGUACCGGAAGAAUAAGGACCGGCUAACUACGUGCCAGCAGCCGCGGUAAUACGUAGGGUCCAAGCGUUAAUCGGAAUUACUGGGCGUAAAGCGUGCGCAGGCGGUUGUGCAAGACCGAUGUGAAAUCCCCGGGCUUAACCUGGGAAUUGCAUUGGUG